rnacentral:pre_miRNA from 13 species
AGGGGUUUUUACCAGAAGGUUACUUGUUAGAAGGUUACUUGUUAGUUCAGGACCUCAUUCUUUCCUGCCUGAACUAUUGUAGUAGCCUCCUAACUGGUCACCCCACCUCCAGUCUUGCCCC